GACGAACGCUGGCGGCGUGCUUAACACAUGCAAGUCGAACGAUGAUGCUGGAGCUUGCUCCAGUUGAUUAGUGGCGAACGGGUGAGUAACACGUGAGCAAUCUGCCCUUGACUCUGGGAUAACUGCGGGAAACUGUAGCUAAUACCGGAUACUUUCACCGGAAGGCAUCUUCUGGUGAUGAAAGAAUUUCGGUCAGGGAUGAGCUCGCGGCCUAUCAGCUUGUUGGUGAGGUAACGGAUCACCAAGGCGACGACGGGUAACCGGCCUGAGAGGGUGACCGGUAACACUGGGACUGAGACACGGCCCAGACUCCUACGGGAGGCAGAAGUGGGGAAUAUUGCACAAUGGGCGCAAGCCUGAUGCAGCAACGCCGCGUGAGGGAUGAAGGCCUUCGGGUUGUAAACCUCUUUUAGCAGGGAAGAAGCGAAAGUGACGGUACCUGCAGAAAAAGCACCGGCUAACUACGUGCCAGCCGCCGCAGUAA
rnacentral:rRNA from 1 species